UUCGUCAGCAUCGGAUGAAUGUAAAUGGACUGCCAGUGUAUAAUAAGGCCCCUUCGGCUUCUCGUCUGUCCGUCCGUCCGUCUGUCCACCUAGUCUUUGGCGGGUCAACAUCGGUUGAAAAAGGCAAGGAAAUAUCCUUUAAAUUCUUACUACCUAACCUAACGAUGAGCUCAUAUUUAGGUCAAUGUCUGCAUCACAACCAACGGAAUCAACAAUCCGAGAGUCAAACGUUCGUAUUGCAGUCGGGUUUCCUGGUCAUGAGAAUCUUUAUGGAAUACUUGAUUGACGCUGGGGUAUGCAACAGCGUCUGGGUCCCUCGCUGGGGUAUGGUGGAUGUGAUUGUGGUGGCUGCGGAUGUGGUGCUUGCUGAUUUUCCUUAUAGCAGUGGAAGAGUAUUGGCUUUGGUUCUUUCGUUUUCGCCUUCCAAUUUAUUUAUGGAUUUGAUUUCUCUUAGUCUUU